UGUCGCUUCGGCAGCACAUAGACUAAAAUGGAAUGAUACAGAGAAGAUAAGCAUGGCCCCUUUGCAAGGAUGACAUGCACCUUUGUGAAGCGUUCCAUAUUCUA